rnacentral:lncRNA from 1 species
AGCUUUGCUGGAGAAAGUUGUACAGGCCAGCAUAUUUAGCAUCACUCUAAAUUCAUCAUUACCAGCUGACAGCACUCCAGCGAACAUGGUGAAUGUUCCCCAAACCCACCAGACUUUCUGUAAGAAGUAUCACAAGCACCAACUCCACAAAGUGACAUAGUCCAAGAAGGGCAAGGAUUCUCUGUGUGUCUAGGGAAAGCAGCAUUAUGACAGGAAGCACAGUGGCUAUGGUGGGCAGAGUAAGCCGAUUUUCCAGAAAAAAGCUAAAACUACAGAGAAGAUUGUGCUAAGGCUUGAGUGUGUUGAGCUCAAUUUCAGAUCUGAGAAAAUGUGGCUAUUAAGAGAUGCAAGCACUUUGAACUGGGAGGAGAUAAGUGAAAAGGCCAAGUGAUCCAGUUUUAAGUGUCAUCUUUUGUUUUGUUAUGAAGACAAUAAAAUCUUGAGUUUAUGUUCCAAAAAAUUUAAAAAUAAAUUCAUCAUUACCGAAGUUAAUAUUGGCAGCAGUCUUACUAUAUUUCUCUAACAAGUAUCCUACUCUACUCUUUGCAACAAAUGUUUCAUCCCUUCAUUACUCUCUUCUACCUCUCACCCUCCCUGUUUCCUUCCCUAUGCUGUUGGUAGUCUUGACUCAUACCUCAGAAGGAAAAAGGAAGCCAUCAUAUGUGAGCUCUCUUACUUCCUACCACCAAUCUGCAAACGUGUCUACAGCCAUCCUCUCCUCUCUAGUUGGAGGAAAUAUUCCACCUCCUAACAAAAGCUAAGUAAUCCCUCCCUGGCGCUCUGGAUUGCAUACCCUCCUACUUGAUCACAAUUGGUUGCUUACUCAGCAAUGACUUCUCUAUUCCUCCUUUGAAGCGUAACAGUUUGUUUAGAUAUCCACCUUCCUCCACACAUGCCUGUGAAUGUGAACAUAUCUCAGUGUAAUGUUUGAGAUGACUACUGGAGCCAUGCUCUGACCUAAGGAUGGCAGAUUUAAAUGACAUGUUGAACCUCUGAAUUCACUAACCUGGCAGUCACUGUGCCUCUGGUCUUCUUGAUAUGUGUGACAAUGAAUUUCCUCUGUUGUUUAAGCCACUCUGAGAUUGUCGUCAUCCAUAUGCAGAGAAUAUCAUACCAAAAUGGUAUACUCUUUAAGCUAUCCCAAAUAAACCUAUAUUCCAAGUACAAACACUGUCAUUGCUAUACAAAUGGAACUUUAUGACAAUUCCCUGAUGCUACUCCAUUCCCACC